rnacentral:rRNA from 1 species
GUUAUAGGAUCAAGCGAAUAAGUGCAUCUGGUGGAUGCCUUGGCGAUGAUAGGCGACGAAGGACGUGAUAGCCUGCGAUAAGCGUGGGGGAGCUGGCAAAGUGCUUUGAUCCCACGAUUUCCGAAUGGGGAAACCCGGCCCUUUUGGGUCAUCCUAGACUGAAUACAUAGGUCUAGCGAAGCGAACCCGGUGAACUGAAACAUCUAAGUAACCGGAGGAAAAGAAAUCAACCGAGAUUCCCAAAGUAGUGGCGAGCGAAAUGGGAAGAGCCUGUACGUGAUAGCAGUAGACUUAAUAGAAUGGAAUGGAAAGUCCAACCAUAGUGGGUGAUAGUCCCGUAUAUGAAAAGUCAAUUGUGGUACUAAGCGUACGAGAAGUAGGGCGGGACACGAGAAAUCCUGUUUGAAGAUGGGGGGACCAUCCUCCAAGGCUAAAUACUCAUCAUCGACCGAUAGUGAACCAGUACCGUGAGGGAAAGGCGAAAAGAACCCCGGGAGGGGAGUGAAAUAGAACCUGAAACCGGAUGCAUACAAACAGUGGGAGCCCUUGAAAAAUGGGGUGACUGCGUACCUUUUGUAUAAUGGGUCAGCGACUUACGUUCAGUAGCGAGCUUAACCGAAUAGGGGAGGCGUAGGGAAACCGAGUCCGAAUAGGGCGCAUAGUUGCUGGGCGUAGACCCGAAACCAAGUGAUCUAUCCAUGGCCAGGAUGAAGGUGCGGUAACACGCACUGGAGGUCCGAACCCACUAACGUUGCAAAGUUAGGGGAUGAGCUGUGGAUAGGGGUGAAAGGCUAAACAAACUUGGAAAUAGCUGGUUCUCCUCGAAAACUAUUUAGGUAGUGCCUCAUGUAUCACUGACGGGGGUAAAGCACUGUUAUGGCUAGGGGGUCAUCGCGACUUACCAAACCAUGGCAAAACUCUGAAUACCGUCAAGUGCGAGCAUGGGAGACAGACCUGGGGUGCUAACGUCCUGGGUCAAGAGGGAAACAACCCAGACCGCCGUCUAAGGUCCCAAAUGAUCAAUUAAGUGGAAAACGAGGUGGGAAGGCACAGACAGCCAGGAUGUUGGCUUAGAAGCAGCCAUCAUUUAAAGAAAGCGUAAUAGCUCACUGGUCGAGUCGUCCUGCGCGGAAGAUGUAACGGGGCUCAAAUUGAUAACCGAAGACGCGGAUAUGACCAUUUAUGGCAUAUGGUAGAGGAGCGUUCUGUAAGCCUGUGAAGGUGUCUUGAGAAGGAUGCUGGAGGUAUCAGAAGUGCGAAUGCUGACAUGAGUAGCGAUAAAGGGAGUGAAAAGCUCCCUCACCGAAAACCCAAGGUUUCCUGCGCAACGUUCAUCGGCGCAGGGUGAGUCGGCCCCUAAGGCGAGGCAGAAAUGCGUAGUCGAUGGGAAACAGGUUAAUAUUCCUGUACUUGAUAUAAGUGCGAUGUGGGGACGGAGAAGGUUAGGUUAGCCAACUGUUGGAAUAGUUGGUUUAAGUGUGUAGGCGGGUGUCUUAGGCAAAUCCGGGACGCUGUUAACGCUGAGGCAUGAUGACGAUUCACUUAGGUGAUGAAGUAACUGAUACCCUGCUUCCAAGAAAAGCCACUAAGCUUCAGCUUAUAUUGAACCGUACCGCAAACCGACACAGGUGGGUAGGAAGAGUAUUCUAAGGUGCUUGAGAGAACUCGGGAGAAGGAACUCGGCAAAUUAACACCGUAACUUCGGGAGAAGGUGUGCCUUAUAGGUGAAGAACCUUGCGUUUGGAGCUAUAUAAGGCCGCAGAGAAAUGGGGGCUGCGACUGUUUAUCAAAAAAACACAGCACUCUGCCAACACGAAAGUGGAUGUAUAGGGUGUGACGCCUGCCCGGUGCUGGAAGGUUAAUUGAUGGGGUGCAAGCUCUUGAUCGAAGCCCCAGUAAACGGCGGCCGUAACUAUAACGGUCCUAAGGUAGCGAAAUUCCUUGUCGGGUAAGUUCCGACCCGCACGAAUGGCGUAACGAUGGCCCUACUGUCUCCUCCCGAGACUCAGCGAAGUUGAAGUGUUUGUGAAGAUGCAAUCUCCCCGCUGCUAGACGGAAAGACCCCGUGAACCUUUACUGUAGCUUUGCAUUGGACUUUGAAGUGGUUUGUGUAGGAUAGGUGGGAGGCUUUGAAGCUGAGACGCUAGUUUCAGUGGAGCCGUCCUUGAAAUACCACCCUGACCCCUUUGAGGUUCUAACCUUGGUCCGUUAUCCGGAUCGGGGACCGUGCAUGGUAGGCAGUUUGACUGGGGCGGUCUCCUCCCAAAUUGUAACGGAGGAGCUCGAAGGUCGCCUAGGUACGGUCGGACAUCGUACUGAUAGUGUAAUGGCAAAAGGCGGCUUAACUGCGAGACCGACAAGUCGAGCAGGUGCGAAAGCAGGACAUAGUGAUCCGGUGGUUCUGUAUGGAAGGGCCAUCGCUCAACGGAUAAAAGGUACUCCGGGGAUAACAGGCUGAUUCCGCCCAAGAGUUCACAUCGACGGCGGAGUUUGGCACCUCGAUGUCGGCUCAUCACAUCCUGGGGCUGUAGCCGGUCCCAAGGGUAUGGCUGUUCGCCAUUUAAAGUGGUACGUGAGCUGGGUUCAAAACGUCGUGAGACAGUUUGGUCCCUAUCUGCAGUGGGCGUUGGAAAUUUGAGAGGGGCUGCUCCUAGUACGAGAGGACCGGAGUGGACUGACCUCUGGUGUACCGGUUGUCACGCCAGUGGCAUUGCCGGGUAGCUAAGUCGGGAAGAGAUAAGCGCUGAAAGCAUCUAAGCGCGAAACUUGCCUCAAGAUGAGAUUUCCCUAGGGUUUUAAAUCCUCUAAAGAGUCGUUCGAGACCAGGACGUUGAUAGGUUGGGUGUGGAAGCGCAGUAAUGCGUUAAGCUAACCAAUACUAAUUGCUCGUGAGGCUUGAUCCUAUAACCUGAAGCG